GACGAACGCUGGCGGCGUGCUUAACACAUGCAAGUCGAACGCAGUGGCGGACGGGUGAGUAACGCGUAAUCAACCUGCCCUUCAGAGGGGGACAACAGUUGGAAACGACUGCUAAUACGCUAUACUGAAGGUGGGGAUUGCGUCGGAUUAGCUAGUUGGGGGGGUAACGGCCCACCAAGGCGAUGAUCAGUAGCCGGUCUGGGAAGAUGAACCGCCACAAUGGGGCUGAGACACGGCCCAGACUCCUGCGGGGAGCAGCAGUGGGGGAUCUUCCGCAAUGGACGAAAGUCUGACGGAGCAACGCCGCGUGAGUGAUGACGGCCUUCGGGUUGUAAAGCUCUGUUAAUCGGGACGCGGUACCGGAAUAGAAAGCCACGGCUAACUACGUGCCAGCAGCCGCGGUAAUAC
rnacentral:rRNA from 1 species